rnacentral:rRNA from 1 species
GUGGGGAAUCUUCCGCAAUGGACGAAAGUCUGACGGAGCAACGCCGCGUGAGUGAUGAAGGUCUUCGGAUUGUAAAGCUCUGUUAAUCGGGACGAAAGAGCCUAGUGUGAAUAAUGCUAGGAAGUGACGGUACCGGAAUAGAAAGCCACGGCUAACUACGUGCCAGCAGCCGCGGUAAUACGUAGGUGGCAAGCGUUGUCCGGACUUAUUGGGCGUAAAGCGCGCGCAGGCGGAUCUGCCAGUCUGUCUUAAAAGUUCGGGGCUUAACCCCGUGAUGGGAUGGAAACUACAGAUCUAGAGUAUCGGAGAGGAAAGUGGAAUUCCUAGUGUAGCGGUGAAAUGCGUAGAUAUUAGGAAGAACACCAGUGGCGAAGGCGACUUUCUGGACGAAAACUGACGCUGAGGCGCGAAAGCCAGGGGAGCGAACGGGAUUAGAAACCCGUGUAGUCC